rnacentral:tRNA from 1 species
GUAUAUAUAGCUCAAGUGGUAGAGCACAUGCUUAGAAUGCAUGAGGUCCCAGGUUCAAUUCCCCAGUACCUUCA